GCGUUGUUCGGAAUCACUGGGCGUAAAGGGUGCGUAGGUGGCGUGGUAAGUCAGAUGUGAAAGCCCGGGGCUCAACCUCGGAACUGCAUCCGAUACUGCCAUGCUAGAGUACUGGAGAGGUGACUAGAAUUCUCGGUGUAGCAGUGAAAUGCGUAGAUAUCGAGAGGAAUACCAAAGGCGUAGGCAGGUCACUGGACAGUUACUGACACUGAGGCACGAAGGCCAG
rnacentral:rRNA from 1 species